rnacentral:rRNA from 1 species
UGGGGAAUAUUGCACAAUGGGCGCAAGCCUGAUGCAGCCAUGCCGCGUGUAUGAAGAAGGCCUUCGGGUUGUAAAGUACUUUCAGCGGGGAGGAAGGGAGUAAAGUUAAUACCUUUGCUCAUUGACGUUACCCGCAGAAGAAGCACCGGCUAACUCCGUGCCAGCAGCCGCGGUAAUACGGAGGGUGCAAGCGUUAAUCGGAAUUACUGGGCGUAAUGCGCACGCAGGCGGUUUGUUAAGUCAGAUGUGAAAUCCCCGGGCUCAACCUGGGGACUGCAUCUGAUACUGGCAAGCUUGAGUCUCGUAGAGGGGGGUAGAAUUCCGGGUGGAGCGGUGAAAUGCGUAGAGAUCUGGAGGAAUACCGGUGGCGAAGGCGGCCCCCUGGACGAAGACUGACGCUAAGGUGCGAAAGCGUGGGGAGCAAGCAGG